rnacentral:rRNA from 1 species
CCUACGGGAGGCAGCAGUGGGGAAUAUUGGACAAUGGGGGCAACCCUGAUCCAGCCAUGCCGCGUGUGUGAAGAAGGCCCUCGGGUUGUAAAGCACUUUCAGUGAGGAAGAACGCCUGGUGGUUAAUACCCAUCAGGAAAGACAUCACUCACAGAAGAAGCACCGGCUAACUCCGUGCCAGCAGCCGCGGUAAUACGGAGGGUGCGAGCGUUAAUCGGAAUUACUGGGCGUAAAGCGCGCGUAGGUGGCUUGAUAAGCCGGUUGUGAAAGCCCCGGGCUCAACCUGGGAACGGCAUCCGGAACUGUCAAGCUAGAGUGCAGGAGAGGAAGGUAGAAUUCCCGGUGUAGCGGUGAAAUGCGUAGAGAUCGGGAGGAAUACCAGUGGCGAAGGCGGCCUUCUGGACUGACACUGACACUGAGGUGCGAAAGCAUGGGUAGCAAACAGGAUUAGAUACCCCAGUAGUC